rnacentral:rRNA from 1 species
GAUUAAGUGGUCGGGUGACGGCGUACCUUUUGUAUAAUGGGUCAGCGACUUAUAUUCUGUAGCAAGGUUAACCGAAUAGGGGAGCCGUAGGGAAACCGAGUCUUAAUAGGGCGAUUAAGUUGCA